rnacentral:rRNA from 1 species
AGCAUAUCACUAAGCGGAGGAAGAGAAACUAACAAAGGAUUCCCUUUAGUAACGGCGAGUGAACAGGGAAGAGCCCAGCACCGAAGCCUGUGGUCAUUUGAUCACCAGGCAAUGUGGUGUUCAGGUCGUUCCGCGGAGGCACUGCUCCACCCUAAGUCCAAUAAUGAGAACGGUUUCUCGGACAUGGCCCAUGGAGGGUGAAAGGCCCGUGGGGGUGGAGAUCAGGUUGGCCAGUGCUGCUCUGGGGAGACCUUGGAGUCGGGUUGUUUGUGAAUGCAGCCCAAAGCGGGUGGUAGACUCCAUCCAAGGCUAAAUACAACACGAGUCCGAUAGCGAACAAGUACCGUGAGGGAAAGUUGAAAAGUACUCUGAAGAGAGAGUAAACAGUGCGUGAAGCCGUUCAGAGGUAAACAGAUAGAGUUGAACUGUGAGUUCCGAUGGUUCAGCUGGUGACUUUGGUUGAGCUUGGUCAAAAUGGUUGGGCUUUGAGGUCUGUGUAGCAACAGGUUCUUGCCUUCGGGUGAGAAUGCGCGAUGCACUCGUCGAGUGUUGUGCGCCUCAGAUGUCCCGAGCCGAGUCGCCAGUGCAUUCCGUCGGGACGGUCACCACGACCGGCACUAUCGUCUGUCUUUUGUGGUUAAACCGUGCGUGCUUCGUCCUUGUGGCUUUGUGCGUGCGGGAUGGCAGGUAGCUCAUUGGUUUGUUUACAAGCCUUUGGGUGAAAUAGCUGACUGCAAUUUGACUGUGCGUUGUGCCGGGGACGGCGGCUUGAGGUGUGUGCGUGUGUGCUAGUUUGCUGGCGUAUCCGUGUCAGGUUGCUCAGUUGCUCACCUAGUGGGCCAAGCGGCGACUGGGAUGCGUUCGGCGAGCGGUCGCGCUCGAGACACCGUUGAAGGGCCAACAGUCUGUGGUGUUGCGGUAGACGAUCUAUCUGACCCGUCUUGAAACACGGACCAAGGAGAAUAACAUGUGC